AUACGUAGGUGGCAAGCGUUGUCCGGAUUUACUGGGUUUAAAGGGUGCGCAGGCGGCCGUGCAAGUCAGCGGUGAAAGCCCGGGGCUCAACCCCGGAAGUGCCGUUGAUACUGCAUGGCUGGAAUGCGGUCGAGGCGGGCGGAACGGGGCGUGUAGCGGGGAAAUGCGUAGAUAUGCCACAGAACGCCGAUAGCGGAGGCAGCUCGCCAGGCCUGCAUUGACGCUCGGGCACGAAAGCGUGGGGAUCGAACAGGAUUAGAUACCCUGGUAGUCCACGCCGUAAACGAUGGGCGCUCGUCGUCGGCGGCAGACAGUCGGCGGCCAAGCGAAAGCGAUAAGCGCCCCACCUGGGGAGUACGGUCGCAAGGCUGAAACUUAAAGGAAUUGGCGGGG
rnacentral:rRNA from 1 species